UAGGCAACCCAAAUGCGAACGUUAAAUCCGCACAAAAAUCUUACUAUCUAGCGAAAACACAGCCAAGGGAAAGGGCUUAGAAAAAUUAGCGGGAAAAGAAGGCCCUGUCUUGAGGAGGUCUUGACUCUAAUCUGGCAGUGUAACGAGACAUAAGAGGUGUAGAAUAAGUGGGAGAUAUUGUUCUUUCAGGUUCAUUAUCGCCAAUGAAAUACUAGUACUCUUAUUGUUUCCCUACUUGAUUAAGUGGAACGUGUAUCAUUACUUAGCCAUUAUAUGGAUAUUGAUCAAAGUACUAAAGAGUUUAUUAUAUAAUUGGAAACAAAUUUUAAUGAGAUUGUUUGGCAUUUUGAUGCUUAUUCAAUCAAUAUUUAUUCAGGUAUGAUUCAAUUCAAUAACUUUGCCAGGUAGGGAGUUUGACUGCGGCUGUACAUCUCUCAAGUAAUAACGAAGGUGUCUCAAGGCCAGCUUAGUACGGAAAGAAACCACAAAUACAGCAAAAGGGUAAAAGUUGACUUGAUCUCGGUGUUCGGUACAGACAGGGGCAACAAAAGCUCGGCCUAUCCUUAGUUUAAGGAGUUUUUAAGAGUUUUAACACAGGGAUAAGUGGCGGCGACGCUUUUCGAUCCUUUCAUGUCGGCUCUUCCUAUCAUUGUGAAGCAAAAUUCCCCAAGCGUUAGAUUGUUCACAGGUGCAGGAGAACGUGAGCUGGGUUUAGACCGUCGUGGGACAGAUUUGUUUUAUCCUACUAAUGGAAAUAUAAUGUUACGACAGCAAUCCUGUGUAGUACGGAAGGAACCGCAGAGUUGGACAAAAGGCACAAUACUUGUUUGAGCGAACGCCACGUUCGUUGGAUUAUGCCUGAACGCUUUUGAGGUCGUAUCCGAGCUGGGCUGCUAUGAUAAAAAUGGGGCAAUUGCAUUGUGUGGCUUUUACACCAUUUAAAGUUUAUCACUUGUUUAUGAUAAACGACAAUGGAAUGUGAUGACAAUGUUUUAUUCCUACAUAACAAAUGCAGGAAAAUAUUAUUACACGUAUGCCGCAUUAGUUACAUUUAAAAAUAUUAUUUAACACAAUGGCAAUGCCUAGAAUCAAUUGUAAACGACUUUUGUAACGCGCAAGAUAUUGAAAGUGGUAGAGCAGGUGCCAUACUGCAAUCCACUGAAGCUCACGCUUAGUUUGAUGAUUC
rnacentral:ncRNA from 1 species